CACACUAUCAUUAACUGAAUCCAUAGGUUAAUGAGGCGAACCGGGGGAACUGAAACAUCUAAGUACCCCGAGGAAAAGAAAUCAACCGAGAUUCCCCCAGUAGCGGCGAGCGAACGGGGAGCAGCCCAGAGCCUGAAUCAGUGUGUGUGUUAGUGGAAGCGUCUGGAAAGGCGCGCGAUACAGGGUGACAGCCCCGUACACAAAAAUGCACAUGCUGUGAGCUCGAUGAGUAGGGCGGGACACGUGGUAUCCUGUCUGAAUAUGGGGGGACCAUCCUCCAAGGCUAAAUACUCCUGACUGACCGAUAGUGAACCAGUACCGUGAGGGAAAGGCGAAAAGAACCCCGGCGAGGGGAGUGAAAAAGAACCUGAAACCGUGUACGUACAAGCAGUGGGAGCACGCUUAGGCGUGUGACUGCGUACCUUUUGUAUAAUGGGUCAGCGACUUAUAUUCUGUAGCAAGGUUAACCGAAUAGGGGAGCCGAAGGGAAACCGAGUCUUAACUGGGCGUUAAGUUGCAGGGUAUAGACCCGAAACCCGGUGAUCUAGCCAUGGGCAGGUUGAAGGUUGGGUAACACUAACUGGAGGACCGAACCGACUAAUGUUGAAAAAUUAGCGGAUGACUUGUGGCUGGGGGUGAAAGGCCAAUCAAACCGGGAGAUAGCUGGUUCUCCCCGAAAGCUAUUUAGGUAGCGCCUCGUGAAUUCAUCUCCGGGGGUAGAGCACUGUUUCGGCAAGGGGGUCAUCCCGACUUACCAACCCGAUGCAAACUGCGAAUACCGGAGAAUGUUAUCACGGGAGACACACGGCGGGUGCUAACGUCCGUCGUGAAGAGGGAAACAACCCAGACCGCCAGCUAAGGUCCCAAAGUCAUGGUUAAGUGGGAAACGAUGUGGGAAGGCCCAGACAGCCAGGAUGUUGGCUUAGAAGCAGCCAUCAUUUAAAGAAAGCGUAAUAGCUCACUGGUCGAGUCGGCCUGCGCGGAAGAUGUAACGGGGCUAAACCAUGCACCGAAGCUGCGGCAGCGACGCUUAUGCGUUGUUGGGUAGGGGAGCGUUCUGUAAGCCUGCGAAGGUGUGCUGUGAGGCAUGCUGGAGGUAUCAGAAGUGCGAAUGCUGACAUAAGUAACGAUAAAGCGGGUGAAAAGCCCGCUCGCCGGAAGACCAAGGGUUCCUGUCCAACGUUAAUCGGGGCAGGGUGAGUCGACCCCUAAGGCGAGGCCGAAAGGCGUAGUCGAUGGGAAACAGGUUAAUAUUCCUGUACUUGGUGUUACUGCGAAGGGGGGACGGAGAAGGCUAUGUUGGCCGGGCGACGGUUGUCCCGGUUUAAGCGUGUAGGCUGGUUUUCCAGGCAAAUCCGGAAAAUCAAGGCUGAGGCGUGAUGACGAGGCACUACGGUGCUGAAGCAACAAAUGCCCUGCUUCCAGGAAAAGCCUCUAAGCAUCAGGUAACAUCAAAUCGUACCCCAAACCGACACAGGUGGUCAGGUAGAGAAUACCAAGGCGCUUGAGAGAACUCGGGUGAAGGAACUAGGCAAAAUGGUGCCGUAACUUCGGGAGAAGGCACGCUGAUAUGUAGGUGAAGUCCCUCGCGGAUGGAGCUGAAAUCAGUCGAAGAUACCAGCUGGCUGCAACUGUUUAUUAAAAACACAGCACUGUGCAAACACGAAAGUGGACGUAUACGGUGUGACGCCUGCCCGGUGCCGGAAGGUUAAUUGAUGGGGUUAGCGCAAGCGAAGCUCUUGAUCGAAGCCCCGGUAAACGGCGGCCGUAACUAUAACGGUCCUAAGGUAGCGAAAUUCCUUGUCGGGUAAGUUCCGACCUGCACGAAUGGCGUAAUGAUGGCCAGGCUGUCUCCACCCGAGACUCAGUGAAAUUGAACUCGCUGUGAAGAUGCAGUGUACCCGCGGCAAGACGGAAAGACCCCGUGAACCUUUACUAUAGCUUGACACUGAACAUUGAGCCUUGAUGUGUAGGAUAGGUGGGAGGCUUUGAAGUGUGGACGCCAGUCUGCAUGGAGCCGACCUUGAAAUACCACCCUUUAAUGUUUGAUGUUCUAACGUGGACCCGUAAUCCGGGUUGCGGACAGUGUCUGGUGGGUAGUUUGACUGGGGCGGUCUCCUCCUAAAGAGUAACGGAGGAGCACGAAGGUUGGCUAAUCCUGGUCGGACAUCAGGAGGUUAGUGCAAUGGCAUAAGCCAGCUUGACUGCGAGCGUGACGGCGCGAGCAGGUGCGAAAGCAGGUCAUAGUGAUCCGGUGGUUCUGAAUGGAAGGGCCAUCGCUCAACGGAUAAAAGGUACUCCGGGGAUAACAGGCUGAUACCGCCCAAGAGUUCAUAUCGACGGCGGUGUUUGGCACCUCGAUGUCGGCUCAUCACAUCCUGGGGCUGAAGUAGGUCCCAAGGGUAUGGCUGUUCGCCAUUUAAAGUGGUACGCGAGCUGGGUUUAGAACGUCGUGAGACAGUUCGGUCCCUAUCUGCCGUGGGCGCUGGAGAACUGAGGGGGGCUGCUCCUAGUACGAGAGGACCGGAGUGGACGCAUCACUGGUGUUCGGGUUGUCAUGCCAAUGGCACUGCCCGGUAGCUAAAUGCGGAAGAGAUAAGUGCUGAAAGCAUCUAAGCACGAAACUUGCCCCGAGAUGAGUUCUCCCUGAC
rnacentral:rRNA from 1 species